rnacentral:misc_RNA from 1 species
UAAAAGGAGCUACAAGAACGGCUUCGUUUGGCACGACUUGGCCGAAAACGAUUUCAUCUAUCCAGCCCACGGCCAUGAGUACGUUCUCAAAGGAUCGGAGCUUCUUGAUCCUUCUAUAAACAUUAACAAACCUCUCCUCCUCGAAACUACGUCGUCUUCCAGAUCCCUGAAACCGCCAGAGAUUCACAAGUCAUCGUCCAGUGAGGAUUCGGAUUUUCCUGUGAUCACGCGGCGAAGAAAUCAAUCCUGGAGUUCCAUUGAUCUUAAUGAGUAUCAGGUUUAUAAAACUGAGCCAUUCUCUGAGUCGACUCUGAAACUCGCCGCUGACGCGUCAACUCAGACUGAUGACAAGAGGAGGAGAAGGCCAGAAAAGCAAGAAGAGGAAAUUGAAGAAUUGCAAGAAGAGAAAAGUCCAGAACCGGAGGCGAACAGAGAAGAAAUUGAGAUCUCACCUCCGCCGUCGGAUUCUAGCCCCGAGACAUUAGAGUCUUUGAUGAAGGCUAAUGGGCGAUUGAUAUUAAGCACCGGGAACAAAAAUGAGGAGAAUUUGAAUCGGACGGUGGACAACAGUGGGAGGAUGAAAGCGUCGUCUGUACUGAUGCAGCUGAUUUCUUGCGGUUCUAUCUCAUUUAGGGACUGCGGAGCCACAGCGGUGAAGGAGCAGGGUUUUUCGUUGAUCGGACACUAUAAAGGGAGGUUGCCACGUG